AUUGAACGCUGGCGGCAUGCCUUACACAUGCAAGUCGAACGGCAGCACGGGGGCAACCUUGGUGGCGAGUGGCGAACGGGUGAGUAAUACAUCGGAACGUGCCCUGAAGUGGGGGAUAACGUAGCGAAAGUUACGCUAAUACCGCAUAUUCUGUGAGCAGGAAAGCAGGGGAUCGCAAGACUUUGUGCUUUAGGAGCGGCCGAUGUCGGAUUAGCUAGUUGGUGAGGUAAAAGCUCACCAAGGCGACGAUCCGUAGCGGGUCUGAGAGGAUGAUCCGCCACACUGGGACUGAGACACGGCCCAGACUCCUACGGGAGGCAGCAGUGGGGAAUUUUGGACAAUGGGCGCAAGCCUGAUCCAGCCAUGCCGCGUGAGUGAAGAAGGCC
rnacentral:rRNA from 1 species